GACCGCUCGCCGCGCGGCUCGCGCAGGCGGGAUAAGCCCAUACGGACAGGCGGGUCGGCUGCCG
rnacentral:sRNA from 1 species